CCUAAUUAUGGCGUGGUGACCGGUUUAUGAACGCUGAUAUAAUGGCAGGCAGGCUGUGAUUGGCAUUUCCUUCCGACUUUUGUAAAUGAAACAUUGACGAAUCUUUAUGUACGUGGAAGCUGUUGUUCGUGGAGUCCAAUGUCGUUGGAGUGUUGACAAUGCUGUAAUAUAUGCAAGAACUAUUAAUAUAAAUAUAAAAAAACUGAGUAUGGACGUUACUAUUUCUUAUUGUCUUGUGAAUGGAAAAGCACCAUGUUGAUGGUUUUCAUGGUAUGGAGAAAAAGUCGAUGUCUUCAUCAUUAUCAAAGUUCGAAUCAGUGAUAACCUUCAACUGUUUUGAAACAGUCGGUAUGAUUGUGGUUGAUGGUGGCUGUCGAAAUACCAGCUCAUACGGAGUAAAUCCUGUAGCGCUGUGUUGUUGUGUGUUGAUGACAUCUAUUAAAAAAAUGAAAAAUAAGUAACGACAAUUCGAUCUGCAUUUCGGAACUAUUGUUAUCAACCUACAACAUAUUUGUGGCAACCACGAGCUCCAAGGUUUAGUUUCACUGGCACACUCAGCUAUCAUGACUGAUAUUUUAUGCUCCACAUUGAUAUGAGCCUGUUCUAUCAUGCCUUGACUCUGUGGAUGGCGAGGACGACCACGAACCACCUGAAUCUCCCCUGGCCAAGCUUCGAUAAGAUAAUCUACUGAUUUUUUUACAAAUUCUGAAUAUUUUAGUUCAGUUGUGUGUGAACUUACUUGGAAGCGUUUCAUG